UGACCUCACUCGAUCUUGACAAAGAAACUUCCGGCCUGGCGGCACGCACACGGCGAUAGGGAAUUUAUCCUUGACAAGUACACAUCAUUCAGAUCACGAACUCAAAACAUGAAGUUAAGCGCAGUUGUAUUGGCCGUAGCACUGGGAUCUUAUCACAAUACAGUAUUACCUGCAUCAAACCUCGAAGAGGCCACCCUGCUAGCAGAGCUUUCUUCCUGUUCGUUUCUAGUAUCAGUUCUCUUAUCCGGGUCGCGUCUCUGUUCUUUUGCGUUCUCGUUUGUUUGUGUCCGCUGAAUCACUGGGAUCGGGCAAAAAGACGCUAAAUGUAAAAGAAGAAAAACGAUCUCUAAAUCCUCUGCUAUGCGAGCAGAUAGGCCUUGUACAGUGUUUAGACCGGAGCAGUCUCAAUCACCUUGAUUUCUAUAUCACUUGUACUAAUCAUUAAAAAAAUCUGCUUAGCAAGUCAUUUUUGAAGGGAAAUUUCCCUUCAAUAUCUGUUAUGCUUUCAGCCAAGCGGGUCGCAUCUUGAAAAAGCGGGGGUUCCCCAAGGGUCAUCAUAGAAAAUAGAAUAAUGAGUAUAAGAAGCACUUCUGUUCCGUAGCGAGGAACCGAGGCACGUGAAACUUCUGAAAUGACGACGACUUGCAAAAUAUUUUGCUGUUCAGACUUUAUUCACUUAAUAUGUACAACAUAGUUUUAUUUUCUACUUUGUUAUUUUUACUUAAGAAUUCCAAAAGCUCCGGUACAAAGUUUUACAGAAAUCGUAAAUGGCAUCUUGGGAAGAACUCGAGAAAAAGAGAACCUUGUACUCCAAGUUCGGAGAAUUCUAUGUUCAGUUUGAAAAGUUAUUGGAUGAGCGAUUUCGUUGUACAAUUUGCAAACAUGUGUUACAAGAACCACUACAGACGACAUGCGGCCACAGGAUCUGCGAGAGCUGUUUUGAGCUCUCCCUUAGGGGUCCUUCCAAAUGCCCAGUCGAUGGUGAGGAACUGAAAAUAGAUGGAGUGUUCAAGGAUGUGUGUUGUCGGAGAGAGAUUCUAUGCCUUGCUUGCUAUUGUCCAAAUCGGCAAUUGGGCUGUGAGUGGAUGAAGGAUUUGCAAUAUCUUGAGGAACACCGGGCAAAUUGUGAGUACAAGGGAGUGCAAUGUCAUAACCCUGGGUGUCAGGAGAAAGUUGCAAAGAGAGACCUGGAAGCCCAUCUAGAAAGAUGUGAAUUCAAACCAUCUGAUUGUCAGUACUGUUUGCAGAGGAUCCCAGCAGCUAGCAUGGAGGAUCAUUUACAGACAUGUGAAAAGCACCCUGUAGUUUGUCCUCACUGUGGUGCAGAGGGAAUCUGCCGAGAUGAGUUGCUCCAUCACCAAACCAACAUUUGUGAGCAGGCUGAACUACCAUGCUCAUUUGCCAAACAUGGCUGUCAUUUCAAGGGAACUCGCGAGGCGCUCGAAACGCAUUUCAGAGAUCAGGCAUCUGUCCAUGUGAAUCUUUUACUGACUGCCACGCAAAACGAAGAGAAAGCACGAUCUGAAAUGGCGGCCAAGUUGAGUCAGAUGGAGAAAGAGAGAGCGAAGCAGCAAGAACAGAUGUACGAGCAAAGAGAAGCUCUGGCCGUUGCCAACCAAAACUUGAGGACAUACCAAGGAAAGUUGAACGUGAUAGAGAGAUCAGUAGCAGAGCAGAGAAGAGAGCUGGCGGAACUGAAGGAACGCAUCCAGGGAUCAUCAGUCCAGGCGUCAGAGUCUGGCCAAGUGGUCUUACAGCUACAAGAAGUGGAGGCAGCCAUCCGAGAGCAGGACCGCAGGCUGGGAAUGAUUGAAAACGAGGCGAGCAGAGGCGCUGCUCCCUCGUCAGGGCCCGGGUCGAUGGGAGGCACCAUGGCCCUGGAGCGCCGGCAGGACCGUAACGAGCACCAACUUGCCCUUCACGACAUUCAGCUCGCCGAGCACGAUCUCAAACUCCAGAUGCUCGAAGCGACCUCAUACGAUGGCACGUACAUCUGGAAAAUCGACGAGUAUACGCGGCGCUACCAGGAGGGCGUGUCCGGCAAGACUCCCUCUAUAUACAGCCCCCCCUUCUAUGUGGGGCGGUACGGGUACAAGGCUUGUGCCCGCGUGUACCCGAAUGGGGACGGGAUGGGCAAGGGGUCGCACCUGUCUCUCUUCUUUGUCUUGAUGCGGGGUGAGUUCGAUGCUCUGCUGCCUUGGCCGUUUCGUCAGAAGGUGACCUUCAAGCUGCUAGACCAGGAUCGCGUGCAUGACAUUGGCGACACGUUUCGACCGGAUCCAACCAGCAGUAGUUUCAAGAGGCCGACUUCCAAUAUGAACAUUGCCUCGGGAUGUCCGCUCUUCAUUUCCCACACCAACCUCCAGACCCGCGCCUACGUCCGCGAUGACACUAUGUUUAUCAAAAUUGCUGUCGACACCACAGGGCUCCCGCCGAUGGGCUUCUAAGUCACCUUGAAAGACUGCACUGGGACCUCGUUGUAGCGGUCACCUUGGAGUUUUUCACUGCAUAGACGGUCGAUAUAUAGAGGUCCCAGUGUGGCUAAUAAUGUUUGGCGAUUGAAGGAUAAUGUCAAAGGUGCACCCUACCGAUCAGUGCUGGGAGAAGGUACAUACAUAUACCUUUGGGAAAGCAAGAAAAAAAAACCUUAAUGGGUGUGAAAAAAAUAUAUAGCAAAUAACUGUAACAGAUGCAUUCCCUGCUCGCGAAAUACAGAGAAAAGAGGCCUUUCUAGCAGUAAACAGAAAUCACUUCGCGGCGGGUAAAAAACAGUAAAGUAUCAAGCCAAUCCGACGAAAAAAAAAAAUUCAGAUUAAUUUGAAUCCAUAAAUCACUUCUAACGGAUGGCCCUUUAUUCCUCAGGGAAGAAGUUUGCCCAGAAUGGAGCGGGAGAUCUCGGGUUUGAAAAUAUUGUCACAAGCUGCUCUCGGCGCUUGAUGGAAGCACAACGUUCCGCGUGACACCGAGUAUAGCUUUAAUGGCUUUUCUGUACUUAGGAACGCGCAAAGCGUAUACAAUAGGAUUAAGAAGACCACUCGAGAGCAGCACAACAAAACCCACUUCGACGAACACUUGCAAACUGACGAUGUUCUCGCCGUGUGGAUACAAGUAAAUAAUAUUUAGAGCGAUGAAAUAAGGUAUAAAGCUCACAUAAAAGCAAACGAUCAAAGUCAGGAUUGCAGAUGUGAACUUUCCGUCUCGCCUGGGACCAGGGCGAACUCCGCGCGGCGCCCUAUCAGCUCCGUCGCCACCUAACACUGUUCUUAACGUCGCAGGUCGACUUCGAAAAAUCAGGAUAAGCCUGGGGUAGACGGUCCCGAUAAUCAAGGCAGGAAUUGUCACGUGUAAAUGGCUGGAGAUGAAUCCAUAGAGCUGCUUGCUCACUCCCAAUAUAGGUAACGAGUUGAAGACCAGGCUGUAGACCCAUGAUAGCGCUAUAGCAAGCUUGACUCUCGCAUGAGUGACUCUAACCCUGUAGACAAGCGGAUGGAGUAUAGCAACGUAUCUGUCUGCUAGCAUCAGCAGCAUACACCAUGUCCCACACACGAUAGCCAAUGCGCUAGUCACGAUAAUCGCCAGUAAAGCCGUCCGGUUGAAUGCCCAGUUUUUAUAUUUAAAUACGUCGUAGAUAAACGUGCCAUACCCCGCUAUCAGUGAGUUUAACAGGUCUGUGAUCGCAAGGUUGGUUACCAGCAUUGCGCUUGGUGUGCGCAGGUCAUUAUAAGGGUCGAAGAUGAUCGCCACUAUCAGCAGUCCGUUGCUAAGACUGGCACCCGUAGACAGUAGAAAGUUGAUGAUAGCAAGAGGGAGGCUAUGCGAGUUGUAUGGAAUGAUUUCGGUGCUACUAUUAUGUCCUUCCAUUAUCAAUGGCAAAGCUUGAUUGUCGUUUUGCGCUGCGUUGUUUCCUUGUAGAUACCUUUUCAGAGCGCAGCGAUUAUUUAUGAGUACCUGUGAGCCUUGUGACCUGUGUGCUUGUGAGCCUUGUGACCAAUGUGCCUUUGAAAGUUAUUAUCAGGAGGCUCUAGCUUAUGACUGAAGAGACACGUGAUUCGGUGAUAUGGCGUAUAUUUCUAAUACGCCAAAGCGUAAUUGACUGAUAUAGUGAAUUAAUUGAGAUCAUGAUAAUAUGACUUUUUUUAAAAAGAGUUCAACCACCUUAUACCUCUCGACCCAAAACGUAUUAGCGAUGAAUCCCCAAUAAGGGCUAUACCUUGUCCUGGAUUUUUUUGCCAGCGAAUUUGUUAGGUUAAACUCGUAUCAUCACAUCUGUUUCUUCUACAAUCUCCUAUCAACGACGAAGGCGAUAAUGAGGCAUACACCUUUUUCAAAAUACGUUCUCAAGAGAUCAGAUGACAUUUUUUUUACUUUAUUAUCAUGCGAUGUUUACUUGUCAUCCUAAAUAAUAUCAGGGCCGUGGCGGGGCGGGGCACUGGGGGCAUGUGUCCAUUUUAAAAAUUAUAAGGAAAUGACCAGUAGGGGCUUGGCUCAUAGUUUACUAGGCCUGUAUAAUAUGUAUCACAAUCAAGUAUUAUAGUGAAUGUCUGUGGAGGAUUCAAAGUGAAAGAAAUAUUUUUUCGUGAAA